rnacentral:rRNA from 1 species
UCAGGAUGAACGCUGGCGGCGUGCAUAACACAUUCAAGUCGAACGGACUGAUUCGAUAGCUUGCUAUGAUGAAAGGUUAGUGGCGGACGGGUGGAGUAACGCGUGAGCAACCUGCCCCCUAUGUGCGGGGAUAACGUCUGGAAACGGACGGCUAAUACCGCAUAAUCCAAAUGGAAUCGCAUGGUUUUAUUGGCAAAGAUUUAUUGUCAUAGGGAUGGGCUCGCGUCCGAUUAGAUAGUUGGCGGGGCAACGGCCCACCAAGUCAACGAUCGGUAGCCGGACUGAGAGGUUGAACGGCCACAUUGGAACUGAGAAACGGUCCAGACUCCUACGGGAGGCAGCAGUGGGGAAUAUUGGGCAAUGGAGGAAACUCUGACGCAGUGAACCGCCGCGUGCAGGAAGAAGGUUUUCGGAUUGUAAACUGCUUUAGUCAGGGAAGAUACAAGACAGUACCUGAAGAAUAAGCACCGGCUAACUAUGUGCCAGCAGCAGC